GUCCGCACCGGGGCGCCCUGCGCACACCCUUACCGCCCGGCGGCGUCCGCCGACCCCGGAGUCCUGGCCCGGGGCGCGGGAGUCCGGAGGGCAGGACCGGGACGCUCGCGCUGGCCUCCCGUGCGGUGGCGUGCGUGAGCGUCCCUUCCACUUCGGCAGCCCGCACCGCCUCCGUAGCCUCCCAGGUCUGGCCUCCUGCCCCCCUCCGAGCCCCACCGCGCGCCGACCCGGAUCCCGGGCGCCUCACGGCGCGGCUGCCAGCUGGGCCUGGCGCCGAGGCUCGGGCCCCCAAGUUGUGGGAGGACGCCGGGCCUGUUGACACUUCCCUCGGACUCGGGGGAAGACUGUUACCAGAGGAGCCUCCUUCGGCACGAGCCUCGUCGCUGCCGCCUCGGGAAGGGAGGAGAGCGCAGCCGACCGGUGGCCUGACGCGGUCGCAUCACAGGUGUCUCAGUGGCCGCGCGCUUGGAGCAGGUCACAGACGUGCGCGCGGCGGCGAUCCGGGCUUCCCUGCGAGGCCGAGGCCCAGGCCGGCGGCCCGGUGCGUGGCGGGCGGCGAGGGGGCGCUGUGGCCCGCGACUGCGGCCUGCUGGGCUCCGCGCAGGGCAGGGCUCGCGUGGGAGAAGGAAGACACCGCGAGCGCUUCGGACCCGGCCGCUCCCACCGCUUCUGUUACUCUGGCCUUCCUUGGAGUGUGAGUUCGGUGAAAACAGAGCCACCAUCGUGGGCGGGUAGUUUUGCGGGCAGUUCAGGCUAAGUAAGCACAUUUCGCCUCGGCUCCCUUCAGUGAGGGAACGUGUAACCCGCGUGGCACUUCCCUCCGCCGCCGAGCCUCCUUCCCGGACUGCGGGCCCGCGUGGGCGUGGGGGAACGGCAAGAGGAGGGGGCGUGGCUUUGCAGUUUGCUUUUUCUUAAAACUGAAACUCCUCGUUACACAUCGUGCGAAAUCUGUCCGGCUGCAGCGUGUUCGCGACCCCCUCCUUCGAGGGCCAGCGGGCUGCACUUCGGGAUGGGAGCCAGCGGCCCCUGGGGAGGCGCGCCGUAUGGGUGCGUGGCGCCUGGACCCCUCCGCCCGAGGCAGCUCUCUUGGCAGCCCUGCCACGUGCAGCUGACCAUCUUCAGCCGCUGCGAGGGCUGCUCCUUGCGAACCUGCCGCUCCCGGUGUCCUCCUCCGCCUGGCGGACUCGGGCCUGUCCUCCUCCUCCACCUCCCUCAGCCCUGCGCCCCUCGGCGAUGACCUCGGGCGGGCUCUCCCGGCGGGUGCGGGCACCCUGGGCUGCAGAGCCGACCUUGCUUGGACGUGGACGGGCUGGAGUUCCUCUGAAGGAUCUGCAUUCCGGGAGACACUUUUAGGAACAGGAAGCCCGGCCCGGUUCUGGGCAGGCGGUAUCUGAGGACAACACCUUUGCCCUGCAGUGGAGCAGGCCGGGCCCACGCCCCAGAGCUCCCAGGGUGCUCUGGGCGAGUGGAGUCGUCGGGAUUUGUUUUGUUUUGUAAAAAUAUUUCUGCAAGACAGACCCCGGGAGAACGCAGCUCUGCGUGCAGCAGCCCUCGUGCAUUCCUGCUUCCGGACGCCAGAGCGCACCUCAGUGCAGGCCAGUGCAGCGCCCUGCUGCGGCACCGCGGGCCAUCCCCGGAGCAGAGUCUGGCCUAUUUUGCCGACCCACGACAAUCUUCAGUUCUACCCAUUGCUGGCAGCUGACAUGAUUUCCUGUUCGUUAUGGCUGAGGGCUUCUCGGCUCCAGUCUUACCCACUUUUCUCUGUCAGUUCACCUUUGGACAGACACCUACCUGAUUCCCCAACCUGGGCGUUCGGUUUUGAAAAAGCUGCCAGGUUGUUGCCUGAGCCGGGCCGAUGUGGCAGAGCUCCAUCGCUGCUCUCUGGCCUGCACCUGGCGUGGUUGGCUUUUCAGCUGGGGCAGUCCCGGGUCCUGGUGGGCACUUCCUUAGGUCCCGAAUCUCUGGCCUCCCCUCGUCAUGGGGUCAGCCAGACGGACUGUGUGUCUGUUUCCCUGUCCCUGAAUGCUGUGGCAUUUGAAGGCUGACGGCUCAGCUGUCCUUCCAGGGCCAGGACCUGGUGGAGGUGGCAGGCUCAGCUGGCAGCACAACAUUCACGUGCAGUCCAGGCGACACCAGGUGUGUACCCCUGCCUCCCCACAGGCCGACUCCUAAUUCCCCGGCCAGAAUCGGCCCCAGGAAUCAGACAGCUGGAGGCCACUGGCGGGACCCAGAGCCAGCAGCCGGCACUCCGAGGAGCUGGCCAAGCCACCGAGGGCCCUGCCUGCCCGGAGGGGACCCCUGGUUCUGUUCCCUGGUUCUGCCUUGCCAGUGCCGGGUCCCGUGGGCUGCUUGCCUCCUGAUGUCCUCCAGAGAAACCAAGCAGUGCCCCGUCCUCUAAGCACCAGUCUCUCUGUGGUGCUGUCAUCAAGCCGCGGCCCCGAGGGCACUCUUGGGCACAGGGGCAUCUCCUGUGGCAGGGCUGAAUUUCCAAGUGACUCACGGCAUCCAUCCACCUUCCCUGCCACCUCUGUCCCCUCUUUUGGCCCUGUAAUCCCCCUCAGAAGGGUUUUCCCGCCUAUGCUCACCCCUCCUUUCUCAGUGCAUGCCUUACAAAGAUUUCCCCCACCUGGGGUUGGUCUUCUCAGUCUUUAACUCUUAUCCACAGAGUUAUUCAGCAGGCAAAGCUUUCAAUUUUGGUAAACUCUGGGUUACAAAAUCUUUCCUUUUGCCGUGUGUGACAUGUGUAUUCUAUUCAAGAAGUAUUUGCCUAUCCACGGCCUCACACUUUCUCCAGUAUAACUCACAGGAGUUUUUAGGGUUUAACUCUUCAUUUAGGCCUGUUAUGAUUGUCACUUUGGAAUAUUUUAAGGUGUGUGAUAAGGGUUAGAGUUUAUCCUCUUUGCAUACAAUAUCACUUACUAGUAUUUUAUAAAAUUAGUUUGGAAAUUCCUAGUCCUGUGCAUUACGUGUAAAUUUUGAGUUAGCUUUUCAGCUUCUAUGAAGGGGCUACUCAAGUUGGAUUGGCAUUUAACUGAUGACAUCAUUUUGUGGAGAAUUACUCUCAAAAAUAUUGACUCAUUUAAGCCAUAAAGACUAUAUACAUUUCCUCUUUUUUAAGUCAUUUAAAAUUUUUCUCAGGAAUGCUUU
ensembl:lncRNA